rnacentral:lncRNA from 1 species
UUUUUUUUUUUUUUUUGUUUUGAUUGAGAAAGCAAAUCACCAUUGAGUUUCUGCAUAGGGUUGCUACCAAAAGAAAUUCAAGUCAUCAAUAAAGAGAAAAAUUGAUGAGGAUCGAGCUGUUAUCAGUGACGUGCAUAUCUUCUCCUUCUCCUUUAGACAAAUAGAUAUCCAAAUUCUGUCCCUUUUUUUUUUUCCAAGCAUAUUGAAAUUUGUCCCUCCAAUUUCUUUAGCAAAAUUUAGUUUACUCUUUCAAGUCACAUCUAAUCCCAAUUUCUGCAAGCAAUUUUUGAUACCAAAACUUGCAAACUUGACAGCUGAUACGUAAAUGCAAUUGAAAAGUCUCUGUGUGGAAAAAAAAAAAAACUAUAACACAGUUCUGAGAUGUAAUGUAUAUGAGAUAAAUAAGUACUUGAAAAAUAGAUAAAAAAAAUAUUCUGUAAAAACUCAAGAAUCUUUUUCAUAAAAAGUAACAAUCCAAACCGAACCUUAUCUUGGGUAAUUUUGGGUGUACUAAUUUACUGUUAAUUUGUUGUCAUUUUCUACGUCAGAUUGAGAGGCUUUACCAUCAUCUUUUAAGGUUUGCCUCCAAAAGCACAUUUAUUGUUUUCUGCAUGUAUAACUUUGUCCGUGGAAACUUUUCUUUUGCUUCCUAUAAUGGGUACAAAACUGUAAUGAUGCACAUCCAAAUGAGUAUGGCCUGAUCUAAUUAUGCAAAUAUACAUUUGAAUUUAGAAUUAGAUCAUGUAUAAUCUGGACUAAUAUUUUUAAAAAUUGCUCUUUAACCUUCGAGAAAUUACUUGAUUCAAGAAGUUGUCCUGAGUCGCAUCUAAAUCAAAACACUUGGUAGGUUAAGGAUGUUCAACAACCUUUUAUGAAGGGUUCUUCUAAUGCAUUCUUCUGAAUUUGUUGCUGAAAUAUUCAACCUCUGCAAGAUAGAAGUAAAGCCUUUGACCUAAAAAAAGAAAAAUAAAGAAAUUAGGUCUCCCAUCCUCGUAUCAUAGUAAUUGGAAGGAAGGAAGAGAACAUGAGUCGAAAAGAGAGGAUGGCAGUCAAAAAGCACUUUCAAUAGAAUUCUUGAAAUGAAAGCAAUUUUCGUGACAAAUGAUAGGCAGGUGGAUCAAUAAUGAAUGAUGAUACAAGAGUUGAGUUCAAGAAAUCUACCAAUCCAUCCAAGAUUUCACGUCCAACAAACCUGAUUUGCUGGCUGAAGGAAUAAUCAGAGAACAGUACUAGCGUCACUUGCCAAAAAUGCAAGAAAGGAUUCGACUAUUUCUGGAUAUUUGAUGAAUUAUUUCCCUUUCCACCGCACUGUCAUUAGUGAAAUCCACAAUGCCUUAGAUAAUUUAUGUGUAUUAACAAGUGUCACAAUGAAAAAACUGGUCAUCGAUUGCCGUAGACAAAAAUCCCAAUGAUGUGAUUGCCGUUUAAAGGGAAAAAAUGAACAAUGCCCUGUUUGUUUUAACGGGUUAUCAACUUAUAGCAUUAGAUCAUCUAGUCAUCCGGCAUAAAAGGUGGAGACAAAUGUAGAUGUCAAAGGGUCUCUGGUCAUAGAACAAGAAUAUGUUUUUGUUUGGCUGCCUUUGCUCUUCUUCCCUGCCUAGAUUUUGUUCAUAUCCUCCAAAAAUAACUACUAGAACAGUGGAAUUCAGCUCUUGUUGAAAAAGAUAAUAAAUAUUAAUUGACUUGUUAUUCAUGACUUUUCUCCCAAGUGGACUAAGUCUAAAGACUUUUUCUUCUUUUGGGGGUGGUUUUAAAACAAACGACAGUUGUUAACCAACUUUAACAUGCUCUAUUUCCUACUUGUGUGGAGAAAUUGUCCAAUCACCACCUUCUUAAUUAAGUAGAGAAGUGAAAAUUUCUUCUACUAGGUUUUUUGGAUUGUAAGGCUCCUCAGACCCCCGACUUCUUCAAUAGGUUCAACAGAUGUCCAGUGACGGAGCCAGGAUUUUUUUUCUUGGAAGGCCAAAAUUUUCUUAAUAUGCUAUGUUCAAAAUAAUUUUCAUCCAUUUAAAUAUAUGACAUCUAAAAAAAAUCAAAUAUUAACUUUAAUUAUAUAUAUAUAUAAACUCUCAUAAUAAAAACUAAAAUUAUAAAAAAUUCGGGGAGGUCAUGGCCCUAUCAGUCCCCCUUAGCUCCGUCAUUGCAGAUGCCUACAAUAUUAAUACCUUUUUGCAUGUGUCAAUUUCAUGUCACCUUAUCUAACAAUCUAAGAAUUAAGGAUCACGAUUGUUGUUUGUUCAUGCAAGUUAUUAGCUUUGAUUUCAAGCAAAUUUUAGUUCCAGAUUCAGCGGCAGACAAACUGCAAUAGAAAGAGAUUGCACGUCACCUCUUCUGAUGAUCAUGGAUUUGAAGAGCCAUCCGAUUUUCCUACUAAAACAGCAAUGUUACAAGAAUCACUGUCAGAUGCAUGAAUCAGUGUCCCGUUUUUAGGUUAUAUAGCAGCAUUUCCAUGAUAGUAACAUAUGGUAGAUUAAUUGGAAACUCUGUAACAUAAAUAAGUCAAAAGUAGAAUGAAUACUUCUUCUUCGUCUUCUUCUUCUUCUCUCUCUCUCUCUCAAUUUUAAGGCUGUGCUUCUUUCUAUCAAAACUGAAGUAAUUUUUGUAUAAGAAUUGUCUACUUUUAAGAGAAUGAAAUUCUGCAAUCAGCUGAAUAAAAUAAGUACGGGGUAGGCAAUGAAAUUCAUGAUCAGUAUGUAAGGCGCUUCACCUGUGAUCUAUACAUCCUGCUUCGAGUUAUCAAUGGGGUUUGGAAUUCCACGAUUGAUUCUCUAACACAAAACCAAAAACAAAGAAAGGAAAAAAGGUAGUAUAUCCUAAAAAAGAUGCUACUAAGGGAGUUGUAGAUAUGAUUUUUCCACUAGAAUGAGGUAUACUAAUACUGCAAAUGGAGUUGAAUUACAUGAAGGUGAAACUCAGCACAAUGUAUAUAUAUAUAUAUAUAUAUAUAUAUAUACAGACAUAUCUGGCUCUUUGCAACAUAGUUGCAGUUUUACUAGAAGUGGUUACUGAAGACCUAAAUGAUGCUUUAUGGACUAUGGACUUUCAAAAUGUGAAUUUUUUAGUCAGCCAGAUAUGGAGCGUAGAACUGCAUUUCAUCAAUUUUACAGAGGAGAGUAAGCUUUAUCACAUAAUGAAGUCAUCAAGCAAAGGGGUGUCAAAUGGAAGCUUUAUGAUCCCAGAAGCCACGAAGAAUGCAAAAAGCCACAAAGGUAGCAUCCAUUGAAAUGUAAACAUCAGAAUUGGCUUCCCUGCAAGGUAACAGUAGAGUUAAACUGUCUUUCAACUGCACAAGACUAAAUUUUGAAAGUAGCUAAGGUUCCAACAACUGCAUGAAGAUCUUAAGCCGGCAAUAUUCUUCAGGAUAGCCAGACAUAAAACAGUGCAAUUUUUUUUUGUUCAUGCAGUCUGAAAUCUUUUCUUAUGGUUUCUUUGUAUGAGAAAAAUGCAAAUCCCAUAACACAGUAAAAGAUGUAAUUUUCCAUCAUUCCUUCUUUUUUUUUUUUAAAUGCUUUAAACUACCGUUGAGACUUAAGAGGUUCUUGAUAUAAUAAGCAGCUCUUGACUAAUGCCACUUCCGUAUAGACGUACUUCUGCUUCUUUGCUUCUUUUCUUCUCUUACCGUCUUUCUCAAUGGAUUAAUCAUUCUCCAUUCUCUUGCAAACGCUAAUUCCUUACAGAAAUGGUGGACAAGAAAGGGAAAAGCAGCAUGAAUCUGAUAUAUUUAAUUUGUGAUUCAUGAAAAGGCCAUUGAAAGUAAACAUAAUGGAGAACCUAAUGACCUGAGUGACAAGGAAUAUACUACCCUUUGCAACUUGGUGCAGCAAAGAUCUAGGAUAAGUUUCUAAAAGGCUAUAAACUAUUUUUCAUGUAAUCUGAAAUCUACCAGCCUUUGUUGUGAAGUUUUAAAUCCUAGAAUUGUGAUUGACAGGCUUGACAGUUAGAUAAAAAGCAAGUAAUUAAAAAUUUAAAAGCACCGGCCAAGCAGCAUAAACGCAUAUAGAAGAAAAAAUAUAAGUCCAUAUUUGCAAUUGGCUAAAAUUUUACCAGCAAUGUUGGGAUGAGAACUGUUUUGCAGUUUAAAUAUAAGAAGGCAUGUUUGGUUUUAGACAACGAAAUAUGGGGGAAAGCUUUAUAAUUUAAAGGAUUUCAGGUUGAUAAUAACAAAAGUUUCAUUGACAAAUAGAUUGGAUUUCUUGAAUCAAAGAUAAGAAUCAUCUCAAAAUACCAAAAGUACGCCUCAUAAUCACUAUCAUUCAACAGUAGACAUAGGACACUUUAACUUUCUGAGGUCACUUCAUAAAGAAAUGGAUUGCCAGGCUAUCAAAUCUUUGUCCUACUUGAAUGCACAAGUGCAUUAAUUCCUAUCAAUCUGGGAUACUAUACAAAUCAGGAGAACUUCAUGCAUAAAUUUAGUAGAAAUUCAUGCUUUGAAAUAUUAUAUUGAAGACGACAAGAUAAUAAUAUUUUUCAGGACAAUAUGGUCAGUACCAGCAGAGCGAAAUGAGGCUUCCGUUUUAUCAGCAAUCCACUCCCCUGUCUCACGUAGUUGCUUCUCCACAGGGCUUUCAGUUGACAUGGGGGUACCAAACAGGGACAUCUUCUCUUUUGGGUCCCUAAACAUUUUCAACACAAAAAAUCCCAAAAAGCAAUCAAUCAGGAAACUCCAGACAAUACUAGAACCAUUUUUCAUGAUAAAACAAGAAGUACUCAAGUCAAAAAUGAAAUAAAAAGUAGUUGCCUGACGGGUUCUGUGUCUCUAAAACUGCCUGCACUGACGGCUCUUUCAAUCUCCAGAAUUGAUGGUUGCUUCUGCUUUCUCUUCUGCUUCAGCCUUGGUAUUGAUGGUGGCUGUGAUGUUGUUGGGGAACUACUGCCAGUGUCUAUUGUGGGAUGUGAACGCUUAGGGGGGCUGCCUUGAUGAGAUGUGGAAGGUGAAGAAGUUUUGUUUGUGGAGGCAAGAAUUUGAAGUUUGUUAAUGGAAAGGCAGUUCAAGCUUACCAUUCUUCUGCUUUCUUUUUGAUAUCCUUUGCUUUGAAACUUAUUGCAGUGUUGCAAAAGAAGAUGCAUCCAAUACUGCAACUUAAACGGGUGGCACUGAAAUAUCUUAUCUGAACCAUCUGAUAGACAAAACCAAGCCUUGACCAGUCCCAAUUCCAAGUCAAGAUGGUAGCCUUUCAGUUGAUGGAAAUAGCAGACUGAACUUGUUUUUGGCUUUUCAUCUCCUGUUUUAGGUUUUCUUGUGCAGCCACUUAAAGUGUUAUCUAGUCCCAAAUUGGUUUCAGUCUUGUAAUUAAGACAAAUUGUCUAGUCUCACAUGAUGAGAGGCAUACAUUACAAUUUUCUUUAAGAUGCUAAUCCACUUCUCCUUAUGCUGCAGCAGUUCCACAAGCACAAAAAUGGCAUUCUAGGAUUUGAAGAGGGAGCAGGGAGGAAGCAAUUUUUAUUUCAUCUAAGCAUUAGAACAGGGUGAAAAUUGUGUAUACUUAACAUCCAAAAUUGGACCCGGUCUUCUUUUGGGUUGAUAUGAUUUUUCUACCGUCCAAGGAUCAUCACCACUAAAAAAUUAGUUUGUGACUGACAUUUGCCGAAAAUGGCGAAAAUUUACAUGGAAAUUACAUUCAGUUUUUACACUAUUCUCAGGUGGGUAGAGUCCUG